AAUUCUAGUGGCGGACGGGUGAGUAACGCGUGGGUAACCUGCCUUAUACAGGGGGAUAACAGUCAGAAAUGACUGCUAAUACCGCAUAAGCGCACAGGACCGCAUGGUCUGGUGUGAAAAACUCCGGUGGUAUAAGAUGGACCCGCGUUGGAUUAGCUAGUUGGUGGGGUAACGGCCCACCAAGGCGACGAUCCAUAGCCGGCCUGAGAGGGUGAACGGCCACAUUGGGACUGAGACACGGCCCAGACUCC
rnacentral:rRNA from 1 species